rnacentral:ribozyme from 1 species
GACCGAGUCCUCCGCCUACCGUCGCACUUCGGUGGCAUCCGUCGCAUCCAGCGAUGAUGGCAAUUCGUUGCGUCGCAAACUCAAGACGCCGGUUUUGUGAUAGCAGCAGCAGCAGUGGGUGGCUGGGUGAGUGAGACCAAACAUCACGCCUACGAUA